GUUGAAGUGAAUAUAUAGGGUUUUUCGAUUUGCAUUUACCAUAGAAAUGAAUAUAUAGGAUUUUUAAUAUGCAAAUCUUGUAUUUAGUAUUUACAAUAGAAAUGGGAAAGUGGGAAGUGGCCCAUGUAAAUCACAAAGCGUAGCCCAACAAAUACUAAACGAUGCGUUUGGCAAUCGUCAUGUCCCUUUUUUUUUAAUGGUUAUUUCCGAGAGAGAGAUGGAGGAAGACGCUAGCUUUGACGGUGGCGGAGAGUUCGUUGGAGGCGAUUUAACCGGCAGUAUAAAAUGGUGUUGGUACAAUAUGUUGAGACGACACAAUCUGGUACAUCUUCUUCGAAGUGAUCCUUCACUUGUAGACUGCGAUUUUCUGUUUUUCUUCAACGAUUGCUAACAGGGAAAACCUAACCGUUGAGCUAAUCCACAGUGACUCUCCUCAUUCUCCACUUUACAACCCUCACCACACCGUCUCCGACGGU